rnacentral:rRNA from 1 species
GACGAACGCUGGCGGCGUGCCUAAUACAUGCAAGUAGAACGCUGAAGGAGGAGCUUGCUCUUCUGGAUGAGUUGCGAACGGGUGAGUAACGCGUAGGUAACCUGCCUGGUAGCGGGGGAUAACUAUUGGAAACGAUAGCUAAUACCGCAUAACAGUAGAUGUUGCAUGACAUUUACUUAAAAGGUGCAAUUGCAUCACUACCAGAUGGACCUGCGUUGUAUUAGCUAGUUGGUGGGGUAACGGCUCACCAAGGCGACGAUACAUAGCCGACCUGAGAGGGGGUCGGGCAAACUGGGACUGGGACACCGGCCAGACUCCUACGGGAGGCAGCAGUAGGGAAUCUUCGGCAAUGGACGGAAGUCUGACCGAGCAACGCCGCGUGAGUGAAGAAGGUUGUCGGAUCGUAAAGCUCUGUUGUAAGAGAAGAACGAGUGUGAGAGUGGAAAGUUCACACUGUGACGGUAUCUUACCAGAAAGGGACGGCUAACUACGUG